rnacentral:rRNA from 1 species
UACUCCUACGGGAGGCAGCAGUGGGGAAUAUUGGACAAUGGGCGAAAGCCUGAUCCAGCAAUGCCGCGUGAGUGAUGAAGGCCUCAGGGUCGUAAAGCUCUUUUACCCGGGAUGAUAAUGACAGUACCGGGAGAAUAAGCUCCGGCUAACUCCGUGCCAGCAGCCGCGGUAAUACGGAGGGAGCUAGCGUUGUUCGGAAUUACUGGGCGUAAAGC